UACGUAGGGUCCGAGCGUUGUCCGGAAUUAUUGGGCGUAAAGGGCUCGUAGGCGGUUUGUCGCGUCGGGAGUGAAAACUCAGGGCUCAACCCUGAGCGUGCUUCCGAUACGGGCAGACUAGAGGUAUGCAGGGGAGAACGGAAUUCCUGGUGUAGCGGUGGAAUGCGCAGAUAUCAGGAGGAACACCGGUGGCGAAGGCGGUUCUCUGGGCCUUACCUGACGCUGAGGAGCGAAAGCGUGGGGAGCAAACAGG
rnacentral:rRNA from 1 species